ACUUAAAUAGUUUAAUUAAAACAUUGAUUUGUGGAAUCAAAAAUAUAUUAUUAUUUUAAGUA
rnacentral:tRNA from 1 species